rnacentral:rRNA from 1 species
CAUGCAAGUCGAGCGGCAGCGCGGUCUUCGGACUGGCGGCGAGCGGCGAACGGGUGAGUAAUACAUCGGAACAUGCCCAGUCGUGGGGGAUAACACUUCGAAAGAAGUGCUAAUACCGCAUACGUCCUGAGGGAGAAAGCGGGGGAUCGCAAGACCUCGCGCGAUUGGAGUGGCCGAUGUCAGAUUAGCUAGUUGGUGGGGUAAAGGCCUACCAAGGCAACGAUCUGUAGCUGGUCUGAGAGGAUGAUCAGCCACACUGGGACUGAGACACGGCCCAGACUCCUACGGGAGGCAGCAGUGGGGAAUUUUGGACAAUGGGGGCAACCCUGAUCCAGCCAUUCCGCGUGAGUGAAGAAGGCCUUCGGGUUGUAAAGCUCUUUCGGCAGGAACGAAACGGCGAGCUCUAACAUAGCUCGCUAAUGACGGUACCUGAAGAAGAAGCACCGGCUAACUACGUGCCAGCAGCCGCGGUAAUACGUAGGGUGCGAGCGUUAAUCGGAAUUACUGGGCGUAAAGCGUGCGCAGGCGGUUGUGUAAGACAGGUGUGAAAUCCCCGGGCUUAACCUGGGAACUGCGCUUGUGACUGCACGGCUAGAGUAUGGCAGAGGGGGGUGGAAUUCCACGUGUAGCAGUGAAAUGCGUAGAGAUGUGGAGGAACACCGAUGGCGAAGGCAGCCCCCUGGGCCAAUACUGACGCUCAUGCACGAA